AGGAAUUCUGAAGAAUUACGGCUGUACCCCUGGAACAAGUCUUUAUGUCGAAACUCGAUGGCUACACGCCGAAACUCUUGGAGCUUUUAGAAGCUAAGGGAGGUGCUGCAGGAGUCAGGAUACAGUCAACACUCAGUGCGUUGACUCCGUGCAAUACCAUUGAAAAACGACGGGAUGGUGUGAUCCGCAGUCUCAUUGAAUAUCUUGGAUGGCACUGAAGAAGACUUCACAGAAGAUGUCAUGAUGAUUCUUGUCCAUGGAAACCGAAAUGGAGAGCCAGUGGUUUCCAUUGUUCUUGAAGGAAGCAAGGUUCUAAGUAAAUGUGAAAAUACUGCUAAAGCUUGUGCUCUCCUGAUGGGACUGAUUUAGGCCUUGAAUCUACAGUAUCCCUCAAAGCUCAAGUAGACUUUUGAGGUUUUUCAGAAGCUGUUUCUGGAUCUGGAUGGACUUAAGAUCUCUCCUAAAGUUCGGUCUUUGAAAAACAAGCUGCUUUCUUGACAAGUUUCCGUACUCUGGAUGUACUUAGGUGUUUAACUGCCUUUUUGACUCACUUAUUUUGGUUUAAUAUUUGAAUUUGAGAACUGUACCCUCAAUAAACACACAAAAUGUUAAUUGUAUUUCCAUUUCCAUUAACAUUUGUAUUAGUUGCAUGCACUAUUCUUAUGUUGUAUUACAACAACAGAGUUGAUAAUGUGGGUUACCCUCAUUUGAUAAAACUGUUUUGAAAAAAUAAUUUCUUGAAUUUCUGUUUCAGGUUUUUUAUUAGUUUAAAAACUUUUCCAAAGUCGUUUGGCCAAGGAGUUUUCUUGUUUGUGGGGUGGGGUCAGGGGCUUAGUUAACAGGUUUUAUUUAACUGCAAUCUGUUAGUUAUGUUUUGAUACAGAGAUUAAGAAGCUGUCAUAUCUAUGCAUAGAACUGCUAAUGUUGGAGUUGUAAUGUGUUUAAUAUGCCAUUGAAGAUGGAUAUUUACUGUUGCUUAAGCUGUUUAAAGAUUUUAAAGUGAUCUUAAGCAUCAUAUAUUUCUGUGUGCUGGCUAUUUCUUGCAUUAUUUGUUCCUA